GCCUGGGUGGCUCAGUCAGUUGAGCGUCUGACUUCAAGUCAGGUCAUGAUCUCACUGCUCGUGAGUUCAAGCCCCACAUCAGGCU
rfam:Felis catus isolate Cinnamon breed Abyssinian chromosome C1, whole genome shotgun sequence.